rnacentral:rRNA from 1 species
CUACUACCGAUUGAAUGGCUCAGUGAGGCUUUCGGACUGGCCCAGGGAGAGUGGCAACACUCACCCAGGGCCGGAAAGUUGUUCAAACUUGGUCAUUUAGAGGAAGUAAAAGUCGUAACAAGGUU